rnacentral:rRNA from 1 species
CUACGUGCCAGCAGCCGCGGUAAUACGUAGGGCGCGAGCGUUGUCCGGAAUUAUUGGGCGUAAAGAGCUUGUAGGCGGUUUGUCGCGUCUGCUGUGAAAGGCCGGAGCUUAACUCCGUGUAUUGCAGUGGGUACGGGCAGACUAGAGUGCAGUAGGGGAGACUGGAAUUCCUGGUGUAGCGGUGGAAUGCGCAGAUAUCAGGAAGAACACCGAUGGCGAAGGCAGGUCUCUGGGCUGUAACUGACGCUGAGAAGCGAAAGCAUGGGGAGCGAACAGGAUUAGAUACCCUGGUAGUCCACGCCGUAAACGAUGAGUGCUAGGUGUUAGGCCCUUUCCGGGGCUUAGUGCCGCAGCUAACGCAUUAAGCACUCCGCCUGGGGAGUACGACCGCAAGGUUGAAACUCAAAGGAAUUGACGGGGGCCCGCACAAGCGGUGGAGCAUGUGGUUUAAUUCGAAGCAACGCGAAGAACCUUACCAGGUCUUGACAUCCCUCUGACCGCUCUAGAGAUAGAGUUUUC